ACACGUGGACAACCUACCCUCCGGACGGGGAUAAACCCGGGAAACUGGGUAUAAUACCCGAUAGAUCUCGACUGCUGGAAUGCAUCGAGAUCGAAAGCUCCGGCGCCAGAGGAUGGGUCUGCGGCCUAUCAGGUAGUAGUGGGUGUAGUGUACCUACUAGCCUACGACGGGUACGGGUUGUGAGAGCAAGAGCCCGGAGAUGGAUUCUGAGACACGAAUCCAGGCCCUACGGGGUGCAGCAGGCGCGAAAACUUUACAAUGCCGGCAACGGCGAUAAGGGGACCUCGAGUGCCAGGUUACAAAUCUGGCUGUCGUGAUGCCUAAAAAGCAUUGCAUAGCAAGGGCCGGGCAAGACCGGUGCCAGCCGCCGCGGUAACACCGGCGGCUCGAGUGGUAACCGUUAUUAUUGGGUCUAAAGGGUCUGUAGCCGGCCAGAUAAGUCUCUUGGGAAAUCCAGCAGCUCAACUGUUGGGCUUUCAGGAGAUACUGUCUGGCUCGAGGCCGGGAGAGGUGAGAGGUACUUCAGGGGUAGGGGUGAAAUCUUGCAAUCCUUGAAGGACCACCAGUGGCGAAGGCGUCUCACCAGAACGGACCUGACGGCAAGGGACGAAAGCUAGGGGCACGAACCGGAUUAGAUA
rnacentral:rRNA from 1 species